rnacentral:rRNA from 1 species
UACGUAGGGUGCGAGCGUUGUCCGGAAUUAUUGGGCGUAAAGGGCUCGUAGGCGGUCUGUCACGUCGGGAGUGAAAACUCGGGGCUUAACCCCGAGCCUGCUUCCGAUACGGGCAGACUAGAGGUAUGCAGGGGAGAACGGAAUUCCUGGUGUAGCGGUGAAAUGCGCAGAUAUCAGGAGGAACACCGGUGGCGAAGGCGGGUCUCUGGGCCGAUACUGACGCUGAGGAGCGAAAGCGUGGGGAGCGAACAGG